rnacentral:rRNA from 1 species
AUUGAACGCUGGCGGCAGGCCUAACACAUGCAAGUCGAGCGGAUGAAGGGAGCUUGCUCCUGGAUUCAGCGGCGGACGGGUGAGUAAUGCCUAGGAAUCUGCCUGGUAGUGGGGGAUAACGUCCGGAAACGGGCGCUAAUACCGCAUACGUCCUGAGGGAGAAAGUGGGGGAUCUUCGGACCUCACGCUAUCAGAUGAGCCUAGGUCGGAUUAGCUAGUUGGUGGGGUAAAGGCCUACCAAGGCGACGAUCCGUAACUGGUCUGAGAGGAUGAUCAGUCACACUGGAACUGAGACACGGUCCAGACUCCUACAGGAGGCAGCAGUGGGGAAUAUUGGACAAUGGGCGAAAGCCUGAUCCAGCCAUGCCGCGUGUGUGAAGAAGAUCUUCGGAUUGUAAAGCACUUUAAGUUGGGAGGAAGGGCAGUAAGUUAAUACCUUGCUGUUUUGACGUUACCAACAGAAUAAGCACCGGCUAACUUCGUG